GACUGCGUAGCUCAGUUGGCAGAGCAUUGGGCUAGUAUUCCAAAGAUCGUAGGUUCGAUUCCCAUGCACCGUGGUCA